GAAGAACUUAACAGUUCUUUGCUUGUCCUCUUGGGCCUGACGCUUGACAGGAAAUGAGCUUGAAAGGUUCAGAGGCAGGUCACAGAGCUCCUAUCCCUGCCAGCUGCUCAGAUGACCCUAGCAGUGUGUUUUGAGAAACCUGAUACACUUGCUUAUUAUUAAAGCCUUUUUUCCUUGGAGAAGUCACGUCUAACGCUGGGUUCUACCAGACACAUGGCUAGCCUAUUACAUCCUCCCCCCCCCACAUUCUUCUCAAAUGACACUUGUUAUAUGACCUAAGACUAGAACAACGUGAAAAAUCCCGUGUUGCAACGCAAGGCUGAAUGUGCGAGGAUCAUCUUGUUUACAGGAAUGCUCCCGCCUUGUUUGCCUUGCAGCAUUUGUUGUGCCAAUCCUUCAGACCACCUCCCCUGAGGAACCAACACCAGAGCUGGAAAUUCCUGAUGUCUGAGAUCCUGAAUUCUGGAAGGCACAAUUAAGCAGGGAAAUAGUGUCCAAGGCGGAGCUGAUGAAAUGUGGAAGGUACAAAUUUGAGUGGACACAGUACUUUGUAUUCCAGUUCACUAUUUAAAAGUGUCCUCCAUACUUAUGCUCCGUUCUAAACAGGUGAUUUUGCUGGCAGUGGUAUUUCUUAGAAGCAGGAAACAUAUCAAAUCAGAUUGCCUUAUGCAGAUUCUUUUUUUCCUUUUGGCAAGGAUGCCUAAUAAAUAUUGCUGCUCACAGUACUUUCCCCCCCUAGAAAAUAGGUGCUGGUACACACCAAAAAGUUGCUACAGUAGGUGCCACACUUUUUAGCAACAAAAAGAGGUGCCAGUACUGAGAACCCUUGAGUACCCCUGACAGGAAAGCACUGGUUGCACGCUACCCUAAUAUAAAGUGUGAUGGGGUUCAGUUUCCUUGGAAUGAGGGUCAGCGGACUGUGGUGGCUUUAUGAUGUAUUGUUUAUUUACAGAUAUAUACAACCUGACCCUAUGAUGGAAGAGCUCACAGGAUCAAUGCCCCAAUAAGGUUUUGCAUCUCCCAUAGCCACAGCCUUGGAUUCAAGCAGACGUAAAGCAUGCCUCUCACUCUCAAUCUUCUGCCGGCUCCUAGCCCAGCUGUCUCACAUAACUGCAUUAUCCUUCUAACUACCAGCCAGGUAAAGGACAGGGCACACCCAUUUGCUCUCCGACACAGCUACUUCCUUUGUUACCCUAACGGCCCAUACUUAGGGGCCAUUAACUUAUCAAGAAACUUGCCUGGCUCCUUCAACAAUGCAAUCUCAGAACACUAUGUUCUUAAAUUAAGGUUGUAUGUGCACCAGCACGUGUCCCACUAGAACAAGGGGAAUAUUAUAAGAGCAGCCCUGUAUGAUUAGGCCAAAGCUCCACCUAGUUCAGCAUCCUGUUUCCAACAGUGGACAGCUCUGCCUUCAACAAGCACCCAAGUAAGAAGACAUGAAAGUGACAGCCCUCCCCAAUUGCUUCCUCCUCCCCAGAUUGAUAUUCAGAGACAUACUUGGUUUGGCCAUCACCACUGAUAGUCAUAGCUCUCCUCCCCCUGAAUUUGUUUGCAUGCACAGGUAAUAUCUCUGCAAUGUUCACCCACUGGAUAUGAGAAUAUUUCCGCCCCCCACAAUGUGCAACUAGAGCUACAGAAGCAGCACAGAAUCAGAGUGUAUAGACAGUGCCAGAAACAUGCCAUGGAUUUAUUUUAACUACAUAUUUAAAUAUUAUUUUGCUGAUUUUAUUUUUCUUUGUUAGAUUUGUUCAUUUUCCUACCCUUUCCAGUUUAGCCCUUGGCUUUUCAUGAGGUGCCAAAGCAUUGUACAUGAAGAUUAAGUUGCACAUGUAUGACUCUGUAUUCAUGUUGUUAUUCUUUAAUUUAUUCCAACUCAUGGCUGUCUUGUAGGGACCCCAGCUUACCUUGCAGAUGCCUCCAGAUCCCUCAAAGGCCCCAGCACAUUAUUCAGCAUUCAUAUGACUCUUUUGCACACCUCUAGUGUUUUUCCUCUAAGGGUAAGAGUUGUGUUUGUUGAUUUACACUUAUAUAAUUAUCAAUUGCUGUUUGUGUGUUACUUCCAAAAAACCGAAUAAGCUUUUAAAGAAAGAAAUAAUUUAAGCUUGUUGAAAUGUUCAUAUGCUGAAUUCAACCAAAGUGUAACUUCUUAUUAUUUUAACCAGCAAAGUGACCCUUAUCUGCUCUUUUUUUGUCCCUGUAGAAUACAGCAAAUAUGUCGUUUUAUAUAAACUACAGCAAAUGGCUGGUAGAGACUGUUCACUGGUCAUUAAAAAAAAGGAAGAAAAAGCAGAGGAACCAUUGCCAGUUUGGCAGCGGGGAAUGCAGAGAUAGCCCCUGCAGGCAUUAUGCAUUUCCCUGGUAGAAGAACCACCAGUGGCUCCCAAAUUGUGAAUCCACACACUAAUUCUGUGACCUUCCCACCCAGUGAUGAAAGCAGCAACAGUGACACUGACUCACAGUAGUUGUGUGAUAGUUGUGUGAUUAAGCCACAGCCUGUGGAGAAGAGGGCCAGAGUCAUAUGCUUUUAUAGUGAGCUAUGGUGUGUGUUCCUGAUGCAAAUACAUUAGAUGCUCCAGUUCAGAUUUUACUAAUGAUAGGGCAUAGCUUUCAUAGUUCUGGGGGAUUUUCUUCUUCAGGUUAACAUGGGGUGGAGGGUAUUUCUAGACUAGGGAGAGAACCACAGACCUUGAUGCUGAAUAUGGCCCCUCUAUCUGGCUCGUGGGACCCGGUGCACCAGUCCUGCUUUGCACUUUCCUUGAGUGUUUUUGCCUGUCUGGCAUGUGUUCUUGAACAGUGAUGAUGUCUCUUACUUGCUUGGAUGUAGAUAUCUGCCUGUGUGUGCUUGUACACACAUUGCACACAUGUGUACACACAUUAAUCUCCAAAUUUUAUAUGGGCGGAAUAAGGCCUACUGUACAAAGGUAAGAGUCACAUCCAUUGUCCCACUCAUUUUUUCCUCUAGCCCCAACCACUACUGGCACACAGCCCAGAAGGUACCCCCAUGAGGUACCAUAAGCUUCCGCCCCUGUUCUAGAACAAAGAUCCAAAAAAUCCUAAAGAAUGAUAUGAACUAAUGCCAGUGUACUGGAAGAAGCAAAGAUCACCAGUGUCCAAGCAAUGAUUCUUCAACAUCAACUUCAUGGGACUGGUCAUGUUGUGCAGAUGGCUGAUUAUCAUCUUCCAAAGCAACUACUCUAUUUCGAACUUAAAAAUGGAAAGUGUAAUGCUGGUGGUCAACAAAAGAGAUUUAAAGACUAUCUCAAGGCAAAUCUUUUUAAAAUGUAAUAUAAACACCAACAAUUGGAAAACACUGGCAUGCGAGCUCUCCAAUUGGAGAACAGCCUGUACCAAAGGUGGUCAUGGACUUUGAAGAUGCUCAAAUUCAGGACGAAAGGGAGAAACGUGCUAAGAAGAAGGCACGUUUGGUAAACCCUCAGCGUGAUCAACUCCCACCCGAAAACCUACAUCCCCACUGUGGAAGGACGUGUGGAUCCAGAACUGGCCUCCACAGUCACUUAUAGACUCACUGUUAAAACCGUGUUCCUGGAAGACAAUCUUACUCAGCUACGAGUGAUCGUCAAAGAAGAAGAAGAGGAUUAUUAGAAGUUUUAACAUUAAACAGACAUCUCUUAAUAACAAUAAAAAGCCAGAGAAAUGUUGAUUUGGGAGAGUCUCUAAAAUUCCCUCACAGAUGUUCUUCAAAUCCUGGUCUCUCAGCCUCUACAGGCACACAACUAAGGGAAUAUAAAACACUGUGCUUCAGGAUUUCAAGCCAGUAUUAAACUAUUCUUAAAAUCCUUAUUUGGAGUCUUGUUUGCCAAAUCUAACACCUCAUGGCGGUUGCAUUCCUCUGCAGCUGACCCAGGCACUGAAACCUGUGGAAUUUUGUCAGAGGCUUGGAGUAAAUGACGAUGCAUCUUUGCCAUGGCACUGCCACAAAUAUAUGUCUAUUAAAAAAAUUUACUGAGAUUAGCAUAGGGUAGACGUAAGAGUCCUUUCAGGCAGGGGUUUAUUGUGGAAUUGUUGCUCCUCAUGCCCACAAGUUUCUUCUUGUUGUUGUUUUUGCAGUGUCCACAUGACAUCAUCAUCAAAAUACUGGCCCCUUACUGCUGCAAAAAUAUGGUAAGUAAAAAUAACUCUUUACACAAAUCUGCAACCACUGCUGGUGUGGAAACACAUUUGCACAAGAGAAUAGCAAGGAAUAUAAUGACUGGGAAAAAUGAGAUGUGUAGAAAUGUGCAUACAGAAAAACUGCAUCUGAAUGAGCCAAUUGUGAUGGAAGGUUUCCAUCUGGAAGCUCCCUUAGUAUAGGCAGAAGUCUGAAGAGUGACUUCAUGGGGAAAGUGCUCACUUUGUAAGGUCAAUAUAUCAAGCUGGGAAAUAUCCCAGGGAAAGAUCCAUGAAAGCGUAAGUAUUGAUGUGGAGAGCUACAUCUUAACUAAAUGUAGCAACCACUGGACACCCAUCUAUUUUCAUCUUUCAUUAUAUGAGUCCAUUCCACAGCCCCUGCAGAAGAGAUUCUGUUGGAUAAAGCAUAAUACCAUAGCCAGUGAGGUGGUGUUAACAGAAGCCAAAAUUGUCAUUCAUUGUAUCAAUAAUUUUAGUUCUCUUGCACAGUCUUGUGGAGAGAGAGAGAGAGAGAGAGAGAGAGAGAGAGAGAGAGAGCGAGCGCACAUUUUGCAUGGGGAUUCUGAUUCUAGCCGCCACGCACGUUGGUGGAACAUGCAUAAGCCUAUUACACCCUCAUUCUGCCCUCUUCUGGGUCCUAAAGGCCCCGCGCAUCAGCAGUCACACAUCAAUUGGAUGUGCACAAAAUGGUCACCAUUUGUAUAUAUGGUGGUCAGCAAAGAUGGAAAUAGUUAUGAGCACAGCCAGAAAAAAAAUGAAAGUAUUGAGGAAGCGGGCAUGGAAAGGGAGUAUCAUAAAGGGGCAAAUGAUCUGCCCACCCAAAAGCCCACUGAAACAAGUCAUCUAUGACCCCGAGCAGUUUGGAACCUGACCUACCCCCAGUUUAUUGGAUUAUCCCCAUAUCAGAUAAACCCAAAUUUACAAAGCGAAAAACACUGAGAUUGUGUUGUUGGAGUUAACUCCAUGCAGACUAAACAAAUAAACUGGGGAUGCAGACAACUGCAAACACCAUAAAAUCCCAUGUAGACAAGCCCAUGGUUAGGUGAGCCUCAAUUUCUCUUGGGUUCUCUGCAAAGGCACGUGGCUCUCCAUUUCAUUAAUUAAAUGGUUAAUCAGAAUCACCAGCUUCUUGACCAGUGACACCCCACCCUGGGUUAGCCAGCCUCUUAUUUUGAAGGUUGGGCUGUCCUGCAAUGCUACUUGAACUAGUCUCUCAUAAUCACAAGUAGCAUUCUGCAUCUGGUGCAAUCCACCCUAGAAAGGGCACUUUUCAGGUCAGGAAAAGAAUGGAGCACAGAAGGUGGGUCUGGCUUUGUGGUAGAAUCAGCUCCACAGGGAAGCUGCCCUUUUUUAAAGUCACAUUUGAAUAGAAGAACGAUAUGUAGCAAGGAAACAGGACCUGGAAUAAAUAAGCACAAAGCACAUUUCCUAGAAAAAUGUGUUUAAGUACAGGUUGUAAUCUUACGUGUGGUCUGACCUUUAAAGUUAGAGCACCCAUGGUGGAUGAAGAAAAUAAUCUAACUGACCAAGGAAGAGUACAAUAAUUGCACAAUAAAUUACCUAUAUGUUAGGAAGGAUUCUUCCUAAGAGGACAAGCUGCCCCAAUCCCACAAGGAAUGAAAAAAGCUUAGGUUAUGUUGUUUCUUCUUGCCAAAGCAACAAAAGGAGCUAAACAAAAAUGCAAACUAUUUUAAUUGAUCCCGCCUGGCUCCCUGGAGGAUGAUGUGUUCCUCGGCUUGCAGACAACAGAACCAAGGAAGUUGUCCCAUAUUCAUCUGCCGAUUGUCUACUCAGAAACGUGGAAUGCACUGAGCACUAGCAAAAAUGAGAUCAGAGAUUGGCUUGGAAGCAUCUGAAGACAAAUGCCUGCAAACUGGAGUCUCAUACAGUAGUGCAGAGGCCAGGGAAUCUCAUUUUACUGUGGAUUAGCUCUUUAAAUCAAUUGCUUUUCUUUUUCUUUAUGAAGUGUUAGCUAUGUGUAUGUCAUUGUGCACGCAUUAGAAAAACCAGAAGAAAACUAAUGCACGUGAGGGCUCCCAAGAUGAUGGAAGGAGGCCAAAGGAACAGGAAUGAAGAAAAUAACAAAUCAAUUAUUAUUUCCAAGUAUUUGAACAUGCUCAAAGAUUAAUACUUUUACAGCAAGUUAGAGCAGCUGUAAUGGACAUUAUAGAACGGGCUGCACAACCAGUGAUCCAAGCAUGGAUUGCGAGGUGUUUAGCAACCCCCACUUCCAUGUUUGCAGUCCUAGGCAGGCAGCAAAAAGCAGAAAGUUUAUCACGCCCCUUGUAUGCCACAACCUAUGCAAGUCUAUUCUAUAGAGCAGGGAUGGCUUUCCAGAUGUUGUUGAAUUCCAGCUUCCAUCAUCCCUGACUAUUAGCCAUGCUGGCUGGAGCUAAUGGGAGUUGGAGUGCAAUCACUUUUAAUUAUUUAUAUAGUUAAAUACAAUAAUCAAGUACUAGGCUGUUAAAAAUACUAGUGCUUAACAGAAAGAUGUAGUUCAAUAAAACUGUAUACCGUUAUAAUUAAUAAUUACCCUCCUAUCCUAUACAAUCUACUGCUAGUAUGCCCUGCUAUCCUAUACAAUGGAAGAUGCACUCUUCCAUUGUCUCCUGAGACAGACGGGUGCCAAUCAUGGUAACUUUUCCUAUACAUAUUCCAAUAGUUAAAUAGCCUCACUCUGUCUAAUAGUAGGACCAAUGCUGCCAACAAAGUCCAGCCUUUAUUUGCUGAAAAUGAUCUAACUGGGAAUUAGCAUCCUCAAACAUUUUGCAAACCUGUAAUAAGGGAUUGGUCCCUACUGAAGACUGGAAAGCCAAACUCAAGCAAAGCUUGAAACACAGAGGAAGUGAGAAAGGAAGCUUGUGGGUAUUUGUUUCUUCUCCCUCUCCCUCCACCCCACUAAAGCCAAGAAAUAAAGAGAACUAGCUUUAGCCAGGUUGUGUUACUGAGGGCUCACCCAGACUUCUUUUCAUGCCACAUCUCUAAGCACAGGUCUGCGGAAAACCCUAAUUGCCGUUUGUUCCAUUUCAGUGUUAAGGAGCAGGUUUUCACAUGGGAAAUGCCAGGAAGGAGCUCUCAGACAUGGCACUUUAAAGUGCAGGUCUGUGCCUAGAAAGUGGGGCAAAAGGUACAUGUGGAUGAGCCCUGGAUCACCACACGCCCUACACACACACACACACACACACACACAGAGAGAGAGAGAGAGAGAGAGAGAGAGAGAGAGAGAGAUUAUAGUGCCUCUGAGGGUACAAAAAGUGCUUUCUCCUAAUCAGGGUGUUCACACCCCCUAUUCCUUGAGUCCUGAGGAGUCAAUUCAUAGUAACCAGCAAAGUUAAGAUGGUAAUUCCCUACCUCAGAUGCUUCAGAGAUUAUUGGAAUGGCAUCUUGUUCCUCAUGUUGCUGCUUGAGGCCAAUGAGCAAUAUAAAAGCCAGACAGGAUUUCUGUGAAACUUAACUGCAAAAUGUGGACUCUGUCCAAUCAGCAGACACACUGUCUUCUGCAGGAGUAGAUAACAGGAGUACUCACUCUUUUCUGCUGGGUCUUCCUUCCCCAAGAGCAGGUAAUAGGAGCAAUAUAAUCACAUGAAGAGCAGAAUAACUCACUGUCCACCAGCAGUAGAUGGGAAUGAUUCCUUACAUCCUGCUAGGGACUGACUGAUGCUUAACCAUGGCUGAUAAGUGCUCUUUUCAUGCCCGCAUAUGUGAUCACUGUACAUAGCAUGGCUGAUGGCCAGGGAGUGAACAUCACUGGGUCCCAUUGUACAUGCAUGCAUUGGAAAAUGUCUCCAAUUUAUGGGAUGUUCAUGCACUUGCUGAAAGUGCAUUUUCCUACUCUCUUCUUUGGGCGAGGAACUGCUUUCUUCCCAGGUGUGCAGCUUGAUGCUCACUGAAUAAGGGACCAGAAGUAGCAUUUCUGAACAUGAAUAGCCUGCAUUGUGGAGAAAACAGCUACACAUGCAACAUGGCUCUAAAUGUGUUCAUUUAGAAGCAUAUUCAGGAUUUAAGCCUGUGGAUUGAGUAGACCAAGACAUUUUGUCUGUACAGCAGCUGGCACAUUGGUGUGUUAAAUAAAUAUUAAGUAGUUAUAACUGUGUUCCCUUCAUCUGCUUGGAAUCCAGAAUAUUUCUUUUCUAUGGCUCUAGAACUGGGGGAGAUGUUGCUUUCUGCAUUCAUUUCACACAUGGAAGUUUUUUGUUCUCCAGCCUGAGCCUUGUUUUAAGCAGUUAAUCAUAAUCAUUUUUUCCUGUUUUGUUUGUUUAGCUACAGGAUGUUUAAGAUUCCUCUCUUCUUUUGCCCUUUCUGCAGCUGCUCUUAUUGUUUUGCCUGUGUCUCCGCUGUCUUGCGAUAGCUUUCUAGGCAUUUCACAACAGGAUGAAGAUCAACCCCCCCC